UUGUUGGUAAGGUAAAAGCUUACCAAGGCUUCGAUCAGUAGCUGGUCUGAGAGGACGACCAGCCACACUGGGACUGAGACACGGCCCAGACUCCUACGGGAGGCAGCAGUGGGGAAUUUUGGACAAUGGGGGCAACCCUGAUCCAGCCAUGCCGCGUGAGUGAAGAAGGCCUUCGGGUUGUAAAGCUCUUUCAGCCGGAACGAAACGGUUACGGAUAACACCCGUGACUACUGACGGUACCGGAAGAAGAAGCACCGGCUAACUACGUGCCAGCAGCCGCGGUAAUACGUAGGGUGCGAGCGUUAAUCGGAAUUACUGGGCGUAAAGCGUGCGCAGGUGGUUUUGUAAGUCAGAUGUGAAAGCCCCGGGCUCAACCUGGGAACUGCGUUUGAAACUACAAGACUAGAGUGUGGCAGAGGGGGGUGGAAUUCCGCGUGUAGCAGUGAAAUGCGUAGAGAUGUGGAGGAACACCGAUGGCGAAGGCAGCCCCCUGGGUCAACACUGACGCUCAGGCACGAAAGCAUGGGGAGCAAACAGGAUUAGAUACCCUGGUAGUCCAUGCCCUAAACGAUGUCAACUAGUUGUCGGGCCUUUACGGGCUUGGUAACGUAGCUAACGCGUGAAGUUGACCGCCUGGGGAGUACGAUCGCAAGAUUAAAACUCAAAUGAAUUGACGGGGACCCGCACAAGCGGUGGAUUAUGUGGAUUAAUUCGAUGCAACGCGAAAAACCUUACCUACCCUUGACAUGUAUCGAAGCCCGCAGAAAAGCGGGGGUGCCCGAAAGGGAACGAUAACACAGGUGCUGCAUGGCUGUCGUCAGCUCGUGUCGUGAGAUGUUGGGUUAAGUCCCGCAACGAGCGCAACCCUUGUCAUUAAUUGCCAUCAUCUAGUUGGGCACUUUAAUGAGACUGCCGG
rnacentral:rRNA from 1 species